rnacentral:ncRNA from 1 species
CAGAGUAGGUAAAGAGCGUCAAGUGCUAAGAAAUGGGUUGUUGUUCUUAGACGAAAGCAUAGUCUUAUGAUUCUUUAUUGCGGCCGCUG